rnacentral:rRNA from 1 species
AACGAACGCUGGCGGCAUGCCUAACACAUGCAAGUCGAACGAGACCUUCGGGUCUAGUGGCGCACGGGUGCGUAACGCGUGGGAACCUGCCCUUAGGUUCGGAAUAACUUCCCGAAAGGGGUGCUAAUACCGGAUAAUGUCUUCGGACCAAAGAUUUAUCGCCUUUGGAUGGGCCCGCGUUGGAUUAUCUAGUUGGUAGGGUAAAAGCCUACCAAGGCGACGAUCCAUAGCUGGUCUGAGAGGAUGAUCAGCCACACUGGGACUGAGACACGGCCCAGACUCCUACGGGAGGCAGCAGUGGGGAAUAUUGGACAAUGGGCGAAAGCCUGAUCCAGCAAUGCCGCGUGAGUGAUGAAGGCCUUAGGGUUGUAAAGCGCUUUUACCCGGGAUGAUAAUGACAGUACCGGGAGAAUAAGCUCCGGCUAACUCCGUG